GACGAACGCUGGCGGCGUGCCUAAUACAUGCAAGUUGAGCGAUGAAGAUUGGUGCUUGCACCAAUUUGAAGAGCAGCGAACGGGUGAGUAACGCGUGGGGAAUCUGGCUUUGAGCGGGGGACAACAUUUGGAAACGAAUGCUAAUACCGCAUAACAACUUUAAACAUAAGUUUUAAGUUUGAAAGAUGCAAUUGCAUCACUCAAAGAUGAUCCCGCGUUGUAUUAGCUAGUUGGUGAGGUAAAGGCUCACCAAGGCGAUGAUACAUAGCCGACCUGAGAGGGUGAUCGGCCACAUUGGGACUGAGACACGGCCCAAACUCCUACGGGAGGCAGCAGUAGGGAAUCUUCGGCAAUGGACGAAAGUCUGACCGAGCAACGCCGCGUGAGUGAAGAAGGUUUUCGGAUCGUAAAACUCUGUUGGUAGAGAAGAACGUUGGUGAGAGUGGAAAGCUCAUCAAGUGACGGUAACUACCCAGAAAGGGACGGCUAACUACGUG
rnacentral:rRNA from 1 species